rnacentral:tRNA from 1 species
GCGAGGCGUAUUGCAUGAUCAGGCGACCGGUGGUGGUCUCGCCGGUGAAGGCGAUCUUGGCAAUGCGCUUGUUGGACGCCAGCGGCUUGCC